rnacentral:lncRNA from 1 species
AUAAAACCUCAUUUUACGCAAAGAACCCCCAAACUCAGAUAUUUUAAACCAAGUCCCUCAUAGCGCGGGUAAAAUGCGCGAACACACCUCCACAUCUGGUUUAAUGCAAAACGGUACAUAAAAUGUCGCGCUUUUCACAAAAUUACCGUUUUCCCAUUUAAGACCCCUCCUCGGUCAACGCGCGAUAUCAGCAGAUCCGAUUUGCGAACGGAUUGCACUAGUGCGAUCAGUACGACAGAGACAACAAACUCACAAUUUCGUUUCACCUCGUUUGGUCACGGAUUUGCGACAAAACCUAUCCUCUCUCCAACUUUCCAAAACCACACCUAAAUAUAAUUGCAAAUCCAAUAAACUCCCGUUUUCUCAAAAAUCGUGCAUCAAACCUAAAAUUUGUCAGCGCCAUAGGUUCCAGAAUAGCCAAACCGUUCAAAAU